GUGCCAGCCGCCGCGGUAAUACGGAGGGUCCGAGCGUUAUCCGGAAUCAUUGGGUUUAAAGGGUCCGCAGGCGGCCAGAUAAGUCAGUGGUGAAAUUCCGUGGCUCAACCACGGAACUGCCAUUGAUACUGUUUGGCUUGAAUCAGUUCGAGGAUGCCGGAAUGUGUGGUGUAGCGGUGAAAUGCAUAGAUAUCACACAGAACACCAAUUGCGAAGGCAGGUGUCCAGAACUGUAUUGACGCUGAUGGACGAAAGCGUGGGUAGCGAACAGGAUUAGAUACCCUGGUAGUCCACGCCGUAAACGAUGGUCACUAGCUGUCCGGACUUAAGUCUGGGUGGCCAAGCGAAAGUGAUAAGUGACCCACCUGGGGAGUACGUUCGCAAGAAUGAAACUCAAAGGAAUUGACGGGGGCCCGCACAAGCGGUGGAGCAUGUGGUUUAAUUCGAUGAUACGCGAGGAACCUUACCAGGGCUUAAAUGCAUUAUGACAGGGGUGGAGACACCCUUUUCUUCGGACAUUUUGCAAGGUGCUGCAUGGUUGUCGUCAGCUCGUGCCGUGAGGUGUCAGGUUAAGUCCUAUAACGAGCGCAACCCCUGUUGUUAGUUGCCAGCGAGUAAUGUCGGGAACUCUAGCAAGACUGCCGGUGCAAACCGCGAGGAAGGUGGGGAUGACGUCAAAUCAUCACGGCCCUUACGCCCUGGGCCACACACGUGCUACAAUGGCAGGUACAGCAAGCAGCCACAGGGCGACCAGGAGCGAAUCUGUAAAAGCCUGUCACAAUUUCGGAUCGGAGUCUGCAACUCGACUUCGUGAAGCUGGAAUCGCUAGUAAUCGCAUAUCAGCCAUGAUGCGGUGAAUACGUUCCCGGGCCUUGUACACACCGCCCGUCAAACCAUGGAAGCCGGGGUGCCUGAAGAUGGUGACUUUACGGGAGCUAUCUAGGGUAAAACUGGUGACUGGGGUAAGUCGUAACAAGGUAG
rnacentral:rRNA from 1 species